rfam:Marine metagenome 1096626458359, whole genome shotgun sequence.
UCGUACUGUUCCAGCAGCCGUUCCGUAUCUGGACAGAUGGAACUUGCAACAGCCCGGUGUGAACCUUCGGGGACAACAUGGCUGUCGGUUAUCUGCUACGACGGGGCCGUGAGGCAAGGUGGACGAGCCCAUGAUACCGACAUCGGGCGUUGG